AUGCAUGGGGAACAGGAAGAGCCUACCAUGGCCCAGCAUUUGCCAAGGUACCCACCCUUUCCAAUCUCAGCAUCUAACUCUUCCAUUGAGAUCAGCAUCAUGUGCUCAGACCUUCCAAGGCCAUCACAGGUUACUGGGGACGUCAGAGAAACAGAACCUGCUACCAAUCCUGAUACAAAUGGAAACAAAAGGGAAUGUGAGGGAUAUCCAGAAGACCUGUGCUCCAAAGCUGCUUCUCUAAAAGUUCCAUUCAAAACAGCAAUAAACCAUCCACCCUACCAAUAACGAUCAUGCACAGAACAUGCAACAAUAACUACAACAAUAACUGCAAUCACUGCAACAACCACAACCUAUUUCAGAAAUCAUUUUGAAAGCCUUUAUAUGGUCUGCUGCUAGAGGAAAGACCCUUCCGCGGUUGAUCUAGCCAAUUUGGGUCGAGUAACAUUCUCAUUUUGUGUGUGCAAGUUGGGGUGAGAGUUUUGUUGAACUUAUUUACCCGUCAUUUUCCCCUAAGUUUCUGAAACUUUUUACUCCCUACUCUAGGAAUGUUAAGCAAAAGAAAUCCUUGCUUUGGUUAAAGGUGUAAGUUUAUGAUUUAGCAUCUAGCUUAGCUGAUAGGAUGCUGAAUUUAGAGUCAACAAGUAUUUAUUAAACACCUACUAUGCAUGAGACCUGAUGCAAAAUAUUGACCAGCCAUGUGAC
rnacentral:lncRNA from 1 species